CCUCGCGCUAUAGGGUUGGCCGAUGGCUGAUUAGCUAGUUGGUGGGGUAAAGGGCCUACCAAGGCGACGAUCAGUAGCUGGUCUGAGAGGACGACCAGCCACACUGGGACUGAGACACGGCCCAGACUCCUACGGGAGGCAGCAGUGGGGAAUUUUGGACAAUGGGCGAAAGCCUGAUCCAGCAAUGCCGCGUGUGUGAAGAAGGCCUUCGGGUUGUAAAGCACUUUUGUCCGGAAAGAAAUCCUUGGUCCUAAUAUGGCCGGGGGAUGACGGUACCGGAAGAAUAAGCACCGGCUAACUACGUGCCAGCAGCCGCGGUAAUACGUAGGGUGCAAGCGUUAAUCGGAAUUACUGGGCGUAAAGCGUGCGCAGGCGGUUUGCUAAGACCGAUGUGAAAUCCCCGGGCUCAACCUGGGAACUGCAUUGGUGACUGGCAGGCUAGAGUAUGGCAGAGGGGGGUAGAAUUCCACGUGUAGCAGUGAAAUGCGUAGAGAUGUGGAG
rnacentral:rRNA from 1 species